GGAGAUUUCGGAAGAUGAUUUGAAAUCGUGGAGGUAUUGAAUACACAUCGCCUCGUGAUCAAUUUGAUAGAUUAUUAACGUUUACUAAUACCUAAAGUUGGAUUACAAAAGUAUUUCGAAGUGUUUUGUGAAAGUUUAUCGUCGACUUUUUUAAUUAAAAAAAAUGACGUAGCGUUUUGAAACUGUGUUUUUUUUCUGAAUCACACAGUUUCCAUAGAUGGAUAUUUUGGGUAUAUAUGGACCGAUUUAAUCGAAAAAAAGACCCAAUAGUGAUGUUUAUGGGACAUAUAGGAGUGCCAACAAAGAAGCUCGUCCAAGGUCUGUCACAAUGUCUGCAGCUGGAUGUAAUACAUUCUGGGAGACACAUGGAGAAUAAGCAACCAUGUCGGCCUCACGGAAAGUGGACCACCUGACGGG
ensembl:lncRNA